AAUCCAGUCUUCCGAUUGGUCUUCAAUAGUGGGAUGCCAUUUGGAUGUUCUCUCAGGCUGGACAGAUCCCUUGUGUGCGACAUUCUGCAAUGGCAUCCGCAACAGACAUACUUAGAACUUGAGCUGCCAAACUGACUUUCAUUGGUUGUCUUCGCCAAUCGAUAUGUGAGCUGCGGAGACGGUUAGCAAGCGCAUUUCUCACGAGCUUCAGCAUAUGACAAGGAUCCAUGAAAACGACAACAACUUCACCUGUUUCAGGGUGCUGGAAACUUGUCUUCAAAUUUUUGGGGUCACUGAAGUUGCACCCAAGCUGU